UGCCAGCAGCCGCGGUAAUACGGAGGGUCCGAGCGUUAAUCGGAAUUACUGGGCGUAAAGCGUGCGCAGGCGGUUUGUUAAGUCAGAUGUGAAAGCCCCGGGCUCAACCUGGGAAUAGCAUUUGAAACUGGCAAACUAGAGUCUUGUAGAGGGGGGUAGAAUUUCAGGUGUAGCGGUGAAAUGCGUAGAGAUCUGAAGGAAUACCGGUGGCGAAGGCGGCCCCCUGGACAAAGACUGACGCUCAGGCACGAAAGCGUGGGGAGCAAACAGGAUUAGAUA
rnacentral:rRNA from 1 species